GCCAGAUGUGGUGGCUUGCAUCUGUAAUCCCAGCUACUCAGGAGGCUGAGGUAGGGAAAUGGCAAGUUCAAGAACAGCAUCAACACCUUAGAGACCCUGUCUCAA
rnacentral:sRNA from 1 species